AAAAAGGCCUUUUUCAGAAGGCCAUCCCCAGAAAAAAAAAGGAUAAC
rfam:Tauraco erythrolophus contig55278, whole genome shotgun sequence.